rnacentral:tRNA from 1 species
CGGAAGGUAGUUUAGUUUAGAAUUCUGGCUUUGGGAGUCAGUGGUGGGAGUUAAAAUCUCUUCUUUCCGA